rnacentral:rRNA from 1 species
AGGACGAACGCUGGCGGCGUGCUUAACACAUGCAAGUCGAGCGGUAAGGCCCUUUCGGGGGUACACGAGCGGCGAACGGGUGAGUAACACGUGAGCAAUCUGCCCUUCACUUCGGGAUAAGCCUCGGAAACGGGGUCUAAUACCGGAUAUGACCGCGCUACGCAUGUGGUGUGGUGGAAAGUUCUGGCGGUGGAGGAUGAGCUCGCGGCCUAUCAGCUUGUUGGUGGGGUAAUGGCCUACCAAGGCUUCGACGGGUAGCCGGCCUGAGACGGGGUGACCGGCCAACGACGUGGACUGGAGACACGGCCAGACUCCGACGGAGGCAGCAGUGGGAAUAUGACAAG